rnacentral:rRNA from 1 species
AUUGAACGCUGGCGGCAGGCUUAACACAUGCAAGUCGAGCGGAGAUGAGGUGCUUGCACCUUAUCUUAGCGGCGGACGGGUGAGUAAUGCUUAGGAAUCUGCCUAUUAGUGGGGGACAACAUUCCGAAAGGAAUGCUAAUACCGCAUACGUCCUACGGGAGAAAGCAGGGGAUCUUCGGACCUUGCGCUAAUAGAUGAGCCUAAGUCGGAUUAGCUAGUUGGUGGGGUAAAGGCCUACCAAGGCGACGAUCUGUAGCGGGUCUGAGAGGAUGAUCCGCCACACUGGGACUGGGACACGGCCCAGACUCCUACGGGAGGCAGCAGUGGGGAAUAUUGGACAAUGGGGGGAACCCUGAUCCAGCCAUGCCGCGUGUGUGAAGAAGGCCCUAUGGUUGUAAAGCACUUUAAGCGAGGAGGAGGCUACUGAGACUAAUACUCUUAGAUAGUGGACGUUACUCGCAGAAUAAGCACCGGCUAACUCUGUGCCAGCCGCCGCCGUAAUAC